rnacentral:rRNA from 1 species
GACGAACGCUGGCGGCGCGCCUAACACAUGCAAGUCGAACGAGCGAGCGAGAGCUUGCUUUCUCGAGCGAGUGGCGCACGGGUGAGUAACGCGUGAGGAACCUGCCUCAAAGAGGGGGACAACAGUUGGAAACGACUGCUAAUACCGCAUAAGCCCACGGCUCGGGAUCGAGCAGGGGGAAAAGGAGCCAUCCGCUGUGAGAUGGCCACGCGUCCGAUUAGCUAGAUGGAGUGGUAACGGCCCACCAAGGCGACGAUCGGUAGCCGGACCGAGAGGGUGAACCGCCACAUUUGGGCUGGGCCGCGGCCCGGACUCCUACGGGAGGCAGCAGUGGGUGAUAUUGCACCAUGGGGGAAACCCUGAUGCAGCGCCGCCGCUUGGAGGAUGAAGGUCUUCGGAUUGUAAACUCCUGUUGUCUGUGAAGAUAAUGACGGUACCCAACAAGGAAGUGACGGCUAACUACGUG